GUUUUAAUAAUUUAAUAUAAAAUAUUGGUCUUGUAAGCCAAAAAUGGAACUAGCCUUAAAACU
rnacentral:tRNA from 2 species